rnacentral:rRNA from 1 species
CCUACGGGUGGCAGCAGUGAGGAAUAUUGGUCAAUGGACGAGAGUCUGAACCAGCCAAGUAGCGUGAAGGAUGACUGCCCUAUGGGUUGUAAACUUCUUUUAUAUGGGAAUAAAAUGUUCCACGUGUGGGAUUUUGUAUGUACCAUAUGAAUAAGGAUCGGCUAACUCCGUGCCAGCAGCCGCGGUAAUACGGAGGAUCCGAGCGUUAUCCGGAUUUAUUGGGUUUAAAGGGAGCGUAGGUGGAUUGUUAAGUCAGUUGUGAAAGUUUGCGGCUCAACCGUAAAAUUGCAGUUGAAACUGGCAGUCUUGAGUACAGUAGAGGUGGGCGGAAUUCGUGGUGUAGCGGUGAAAUGCUUAGAUAUCACGAAGAACACCGAUUGCGAAGGCAGUUCACUGGACUGCAACUGACACUGAGGCUCGAAAGUGUGGGUAUCAAACAGGAUUAGAUACCCUAGUAGUC